UACGUAGGGUGCGAGCGUUGUCCGGAAUUAUUGGGCGUAAAGGGCUCGUAGGCGGUUUGUCGCGUCGGGAGUGAAAACCCAGGGCUUAACUCUGGGCUUGCUUUCGAUACGGGCAGACUAGAGGUAUGCAGGGGAGAACGGAAUUCCUGGUGUAGCGGUGAAAUGCGCAGAUAUCAGGAGGAACACCGGUGGCGAAGGCGGGUCUCUGGGCCGAUACUGACGCUGAGGAGCGAAAGCGUGGGGAGCAAACAGG
rnacentral:rRNA from 1 species